rnacentral:rRNA from 1 species
UACAGAGGUCUCAAGCGUUGUUCGGAUUCAUUGGGCGUAAAGGGUGCGUAGGCGGCGCGGUAAGUCGGGUGUGAAAUCUCGGAGCUUAACUCCGAAACUGCAUUCGAUACUGCCGUGCUUGAGGACUGGAGAGGAGACUGGAAUUUACGGUGUAGCGGUGAAAUGCGUAGAUAUCGGGAGGAACACCGGUGGCGAAGGCGGGUCUCUGGGCCGAUACUGACGCUGAGGAGCGAAAGCGUGGGGAGCGAACAGG